UACGAAGGGGGCUAGCGUUGCUCGGAAUCACUGGGCGUAAAGCGCACGUAGGCGGAUCUUUAAGUCAGGGGUGAAAUCCUGGAGCUCAACUCCAGAACUGCCUUUGAUGCUGGGGAUCUCGAGUCCGGGAGAGGUGAGUGGAACUGCGAGUGUAGAGGUGAAAUUCGUAGAUAUUCGCAAGAACACCAGUGGCGAAGGCGGCUCACUGGCCCGGUACUGACGCUGAGGUGCGAAAGCGUGGGGAGCAAACAGG
rnacentral:rRNA from 1 species